CCUACGGGAGGCAGCAGUGGGGAAUAUUGCACAAUGGGGGAAACCCUGAUGCAGCGACGCCGCGUGAGUGAAGAAGGCCCUCGGGUUGUAAACCACUUUUGUAGAGAACGAAAAGACACCUUCGAAUAAAGGGUGUUGCUGACGGUACUCUAAGAAUAAGCACCGGCUAACUACGUGCCAGCAGCCGCGGUAAUACGUAGGGUGCGAGCGUUAAUCGGAAUUACUGGGCGUAAAGGGUGCGCAGGCGGUUGAGUAAGACAGAUGUGAAAUCCCCGAGCUUAACUCGGGAAUGGCAUAUGUGACUG
rnacentral:rRNA from 1 species